AGGGAAUCUUCCACAAUGGACACAAGUCUGAUGGAGCAACGCCGCGUGAGUGAAGAAGGCUUUCGGGUCGUAAAACUCUGUUAUUGAAGAAGAACGUGUGUGACAGUAACUGGUCAUGCAGUGACGGUAUUCAAUCAGAAAGUCACGGCUAACUACGUGCCAGCAGCCGCGGUAAUACGUAGGUGGCAAGCGUUGUCCGGAUUUAUUGGGCGUAAAGCGAGUGCAGGCGGUCUUUUAAGUCUGAUGUGAAAGCCUUCGGCUUAACCGAAGAAGGGCAUCGGAAACUGGAGACUUGAGUGCAGAAGAGGAGAGUGGAACUCCAUGUGUAGCGGUGAAAUGCGUAGAUAUAUGGAAGAACACCAGUGGCGAAGGCGGCUCUCUGGUCUGUAACUGACGCUGAGGCUCGAAAAGCGUGGGUAGCAAAACAGGAUUAGAUACCCUGGUAGUCCACGCCGUAAAACGAUGAAUACUAAGUGUUGGAGGGUUUCCGCCCUUCAGUGCUGCAGCUAAACGCAUUAAGUAUUCCGCCUGGGGGAGUACGACCGCAA
rnacentral:rRNA from 1 species